GAUGAAGAACGCAGCGAAAUGCGAUAAGUAAUGCGAAUUGCAGAUUUCAGUGAGUCAUCGAAUCUUUGAACGCACAUUGCGCCCGCCAGUAUUCUGGCGGGCAUGCCUGUUCGAGCGUCAUUUCAACCAUCAAGCCCCCGGGCUUGCGUUGGGGCCCUGCGGCUGCCGCAGGCCCCGAAAAGCAGUGGCGGGCUCGCUGUCACACCGAGCGCAGUAGCGAUUCUCGCUCCGGGCGUCGGCGGCGGGCACCGGCCGUGAAACCCCACCACAUCCACAAGGUUGACCUCGGAUCAGGUAGGAAUACCCGCUGAACUUAAGCAUAUCAAUAAGCGGAGGA
rnacentral:misc_RNA from 1 species